ACGCUAGCUACAGGCUUAACACAUGCAAGUCGAGGGGCAGCAUGGUCUUAGCUUGCUAAGGCCGAUGGCGACCGGCGCACGGGUGAGUAACACGUAUCCAACCUGCCGUCUACUCUUGGACAGCCUUCUGAAAGGAAGAUUAAUACAAGAUGGCAUCAUGAGUCCGCAUGUUCACAUGAUUAAAGGUAUUCCGGUAGACGAUGGGGAUGCGUUCCAUUAGAUAGUAGGCGGGGUAACGGCCCACCUAGUCUUCGAUGGAUAGGGGUUCUGAGAGGAAGGUCCCCCACACUGGAACUGAGACACGGUCCAAACUCCUACGGGAGGCAGCAGUGAGGAAUAUUGGUCAAUGGGCGAGAGCCUGAACCAGCCAAGUAGCGUGAAGGAUGACUGCCCUAUGGGUUGUAAACUUCUUUUAUAAAGGAAUAAAGUCGGGUAUGCAUACCCGUUUGCAUGUACUUUAUGAAUAAGGAUCGGCUAACUCCGUGCCAGCAGCCGCGGUAAUACGGAGGAUCCGAGCGUUAUCCGGAUUUAUUGGGUUUAAAGGGAGCGUAGAUGGAUGUUUAAGUCAGUUGUGAAAGUUUGCGGCUCAACCGUAAAAUUGCAGUUGAUACUGGAUAUCUUGAGUGCAGUUGAGGCAGGCGGAAUUCGUGGUGUAGCGGUGAAAUGCUUAGAUAUCACGAAGAACUCCGAUUGCGAAGGCAGCCUGCUAAGCUGCAACUGACAUUGAGGCUCGAAAGUGUGGGUAUCAAACAGGAUUAGAUACCCCUGGUAGUCCACACGGUAAACGAUGAAUACUCGCUGUUUGCGAUAUACAGCAAGCGGCCAAGCGAAAGCGUUAAGUAUUCCACCUGGGGAGUACGCCGGCAACGGUGAAACUCAAAGGAAUUGACGGGGGCCCGCACAAGCGGAGGAACAUGUGGUUUAAUUCGAUGAUACGCGAGGAACCUUACCCGGGCUUAAAUUGCAGAUGAAUUACGGUGAAAGCCGUAAGCCGCAAGGCAUCUGUGAAGGUGCUGCAUGGUUGUCGUCAGCUCGUGCCGUGAGGUGUCGGCUUAAGUGCCAUAACGAGCGCAACCCUUGUUGUCAGUUACUAACAGGUUCCGCUGAGGACUCUGACAAGACUGCCAUCGUAAGGUGUGAGGAAGGUGGGGAUGACGUCAAAUCAGCACGGCCCUUACGUCCGGGGCUACACACGUGUUACAAUGGGGGGUACAGAGGGCCGCUACCACGCGAGUGGAUGCCAAUCCCCAAAACCUCUCUCAGUUCGGACUGGAGUCUGCAACCCGACUCCACGAAGCUGGAUUCGCUAGUAAUCGCGCAUCAGCCACGGCGCGGUGAAUACGUUCCCGGGCCUUGUACACACCGCCCGUCAAGCCAUGGGAGCCGGGGGUACCUGAAGUGCGUAACCGCGAGGAGCGCCCUAGGGUAAAACUGGUGACUGGGG
rnacentral:rRNA from 1 species